GACAGAGGGGCCGAGCGUUAGGCGGAAUCACUGGGCUUAAAGCGUGUGUAGGCGGAUUCCUAAGUACCUUGUGAAAUCCCAUGGCUCAACCAUGGAACUGCUUGGUAUACUGGGUGUCUUGAGCCAGCUAGGGGCUACCGGAACAAAUGGUGGAGCGGUGAAAUGCGUAGAUAUCAUUUGGAACGCCAAUGGUGAAAACAGGUAGCUGGGGCUGUGCUGACGCUGAGACACGAAAGCCAGGGGAGCGAACGGG
rnacentral:rRNA from 1 species